CGGAAGGCAGCAGCGAGGAAUAUUGGUCAAUGGACGAGAGUCUGAACCAGCCAAGUAGCGUGCAGGAUGACGGCCCUAUGGGUUGUAAACUGCUUUUGUACGGGAAGAAAGUGACCCACGUGUGGGUUUUUGCAUGUACCGUAAGAAUAAGGACCGGCUAAUUCCGUGCCAGCAGCCGCGGUAAUACGGAAGGUCCGGGCGUUAUCCGGAUUUAUUGGGUUUAAAGGGAGCGUAGGCCGUGCUUUAAGCGUGUUGUGAAAUGUAGGCGCCCAACGUCUGCACUGCAGCGCGAACUGGAGCACUUGAGUACGCAGGAAGUAGGCGGAAUUCGUCGUGUAGCGGUGAAAUGCUUAGAUAUGACGAAGAACUCCGAUUGGGAAGCCAGCUUACUGUAGCGCCACUGACGCUGAUGCUCGGAAGCGUGGGUAUCGAACAGGAUUAGAUACCCUGGUA
rnacentral:rRNA from 1 species